AGCAGCCGCGGUAAUUCCAGCUCCAAUAGCGUAUAUUAAAGUUGCUGCAGUUAAAAAGCUCGUAGUUGAAUUUCGGGAUCAUCAUGUCGGUCGUGCCUCGGUACGUACUGGCAUUGUUGGUUUCUACCUUCUGACGAACCAUGAUGUCAUUAAUUUGGUGUUGUGGGGAGUUAGGACUGUUACUUUGAAAAAUUAGAGUGUUUAAAGCAGGCUUUAGCUUGAAUACAUUAGCAUGGAAUAAUGAAAUAGGACGUUCGAACCUAUUUUGUUGGUUUCUAGGAUCAACGUAAUGAUUAAUAGGGAUAGUUGGGGGCAUUAGUAUUCAAUUGUCAGAGGUGAAAUUCUUGGAUUUAUUGAAGACUAACUACUGCGAAAGCAUUUGCCAAGGAUGUUUUCAUUAAUCAAGAACGAAAGUUAGGGGAUCGAAGACGAUCAGAUACCGUCGUAGUCUUAACCAUAAACUAUGCCGACUAGGGAUCGGAUGAUGUUAAUUUUUAAUGA
rnacentral:rRNA from 1 species